AGCAUCUAAUUUGCAUAUUGUUUCAACUUGUAGACACUUAUUGAUUGCUUUUGGUGGACUCGCCGGGUUAGAAGAGAGUAUUGAAGGAGAUGAUAAUUUUAAGGGAAAAAAUGUUCGUGAAGUUUUUCAUUCGUACCUGAACACGUGUCCUUUUCAAGGCAGUCGAACGAUUAGGACUGAGGAAGCAAUUUUUAUAUCACUUCAAUAUUUUCAAGAAGCAAUUAGCCGAGCAAUGCAAAGUGCUAACAGUUGAAGGCAGGUAGAUAUUUUCUUUGUUCAGCAAUAACUUGGAGAGAUACCGUGCAGAUGCAGUAAUAUCUACUUGGGUUGCUACAAAACGAAAAUUUAAUUUGAUUUUU